CUUACCCACCGUGUGAGCCACAUUAUUCAAAGCUCGACGGAUAAAGUGAAAAAGGACUUUUGAGAAACCAUGGUAGAGGUUCAGGAUAUCUUGCAUCACCAUGAAUAUAAAGGGUGGGGGAUAUCGUUGUUCUAAAAAGUAUCAUUAGGCCAACAAAAACAGUUGCAAUCGGAGUACUUAAAAGCACAGACCUAUCUAAAGAAGUAGAAGGGGAAGAACUAGGACCUAACUAUUGAGAGAUACAUGUUCAGGUGCUAGUCAAACCUAAUAAGAGCUUGAAAUGAUUUCGCAAGUUAUGAAUGCUAACCAAGAAUAUUUAUACAAGUGAAAUUUGUUUUGAUAAUUUGUCUCUCCGGAAGACGGAUGCCACUAUGGGCUUUCAGAACUUAUGGUUGGAAUAAUUUUAUUUUAAUUUUUUUUUGGCUUUAAUUUUUUAGUG